AGGCGCGUGGUACCCGAGGCCGGGCCGGAGCCGCAGGCCAGCCGCGAUUCCUUCGGGCGAUGCUGGGGGCUUUCCGGUCGGGGCCGCAGCCGCUUCCGGAGCCGCGGGCGAGGUGCGUUCCCCAGCCUGGUUUGCUCUGGGCUCUGACCCGCCGCCGCGAAUCUCCGCUCGUAACUCCGGGCCUGAACCUGGAGGAGGGAGGAUUUCCUCUGUGCAGCUUUCGAGCGGUAGACUCACCCUGCCAGGCAGACCUAGAUUGGCAUAACCAGAGAUCAGUUCCAGUUGUGAUGCAGUGGGUGUCUACACACUUCUGAUGACACCUUUAUUUUAAAAGCUGAUGUUCCAAGAUUUUUAGGGCAGUUUUUAGUGUCAUUAUGUUGCUGCUACAUAUUUGGAAGAUGGAACAAGCCCAGACAAAGGAGGAUUCUUUUUUACUCAUCUUAAAUCCAUUUUAUUUUCCUUCAUCUGAGCCCCUUAAAACUAAUGUGUUACUGGUGCAAGCGGUCUUCUCUGUCUUCUUUAUGGCCAGUAAAAUUCUCCAGAAGAGAUUUAUGGCAGCCUCACUCCCAGUAGUUUCUGCAUUUAGUGAGAUAAGGAAUGGAUUUUCUUCUGUGUAUUGCUGACACGAACAGGAGACGGAAAUACUGAGUAGAAGAGGGCGGUUCCCUGGCUAAGGCCCCACCCUCAAGCCUGGAUACCCGCGGCCCUAAAUGAGAAGAGGCGUUUCUGUUUGGGGCCCAAAAAGUUGCUUUUUGACCCACCACGCCCCCUAUCCUGCCCCCAUAUAAACCCCAAACCCCAACCUCCAGAGCAUACCAGCAGGUGAGGAGAUACGAGGCAAGCCGACUGACGGCAAAACGACGUAGCAGAGAAAGAGAGAAGAGGAGGGACGUCUGGACACCGAGAGAUGUUUGGCUCGGGGCAGUCAGAGCGGAGUCCAGCCCCUGGGCGGCCCAACUCCAGGGGAAGAUCACCUUCCCACUUCAUCCAUCCCCACCCUUCCAGCUCCCCAUCCAUCCUGCUGAAAGCCAUUUCCACCACUCAAUAAAACCUCGCAUUCAUCCUUCAAGUCCGUGUGUGACCCGAUUUUUCCUGGAUUCUGGAAAAGAGCUCGGAAUACAGAAAGCUGUCCCCUGGUCCUUUGCCCUUGUGAAAAAGCAGAAGGUCCAUUGAGCUGGUUAACACUCCAGCUGUCUGUGGUGGCCAAGCUGAAAGAGCUUUGUAACACUGGGGUUGCAGGCACCCACCUCUAGACGCUACCGCAGAGCCAGAGCCCAAAGCCCUCACCCCGGCCUCUGCACUUGCCCAUCUGCGUGCUCCCCCUCUCGCAAGGGGUUUCUGCAGAGGGGGCUACUGAACAGGUGAGCCACACCCCUGUCGCACGCCCUGCAAGGGGAAUCAGGGAACUCUUCCGUUUCAUUGCUUUGACCACAUCCUAUAAAUCUUGUUCUCCUUGUCUUUCAGCUCCAAUUUGUUUAUACAUUCAGUUUUUACUUUUGACUUUACUCAUGAUUUAUUAUAGAAAGAUGUUUAACAAUUUUCAAGCAAAUGGAAUAAUUUUUGCUCCUCUUUCGUUGUUAAUUUAUUAUUCAUUGGAGUUAGAAAAUUGUUGCUAAAAUAAAUUCUGCAUUUUGAAAUUUA
rnacentral:lncRNA from 1 species